GGCAAUAUUAUUUUAAAUUAAAUUUCAAAUUUUAAUGAUGUGGAGUUAUUGAUGGGACCCAUUUUAGAACUUUUUAAGAAAUGCUCCAUUGGAGGGGUUGAGUACCUAUUAGGUACUAUUAUUAAAAAAAUAAUAAAUUGAUGAUGUGUCUAUGUGGACCAUUUAAGUACUCAAAAAUGGAGUGCUCCAUUGUGGAUGCUCU
rnacentral:lncRNA from 1 species